AGCCGUGGAAUGGAUAUGUGGCGU
rnacentral:siRNA from 1 species